rnacentral:rRNA from 1 species
AUGUGGGAAACCACGAUGCGGGAAACCCAAGUGCCAGCACUAUGUGUUGGCUGUCCUCAAGUGUUCGUAACUUGGGAAGAAAGUGCUGGGUAAGACGGGUGCCAGCCGCCGCGGUAAUACCCGCAGCACAAGUGGUGGUCAUUAUUAUUGGGCCUAAAGCGUCCGUAGCUGGCUUGUUAGAUGCCUGGGUAAAUCGAUGCGCUUAACGCAUCGAAUUCCGGGUAGACCGGCAAGCUCGAGACCGGGAGAGGUGUAGGGUACUCGGGGGGUAGGGGUAAAAUCCUGUAAUCCUCCGGGGACGACCAGUGGCGAAGGCGCUACACUAGAACGGCUCUGACAGUGAGGGACGAAGCCCUGGGGCGCAAACCGGAUUAGAUACCCGCGUAGUCC